UCCUCCCAAAGAGUAACGGAGGAGCACGAAGGUUGGCUAAUCCUGGUCGGACAUCAGGAGGUUAGUGCAAUGGCAUAAGCCAGCUUGACUGCGAGCGUGACGGCGCGAGCAGGUGCGAAAGCAGGUCAUAGUGAUCCGGUGGUUCUGAAUGGAAGGGCCAUCGCUCAACGGAUAAAAGGUACUCCGGGGAUAACAGGCUGAUACCGCCCAAGAGUUCAUAUCGACGGCGGUGUUUGGCACCUCGAUGUCGGCUCAUCACAUCCUGGGGCUGAAGUAGGUCCCAAGGGUAUGGCUGUUCGCCAUUUAAAGUGGUACGCGAGCUGGGUUUAGAACGUCGUGAGACAGUUCGGUCCCUAUCUGCCGUGGGCGCUGGAAGAUUGAGGGGGGCUGCUCCUAGUACGAGAGGACCGGAGUGGACGCAUCACUGGUGUUCGGGUUGUCAUGCCAAUGGCACUGCCCGGUAGCUAAAUGCGGAAGAGAUAAGUGCUGAAAGCAUCUAAGCACGAAACUUGCCCCGAG
rnacentral:rRNA from 2 species